rnacentral:rRNA from 1 species
ACACGUGGUAUCCUGUCUGAAUAUGGGGGGACCAUCCUCCAAGGCUAAAUACUCCUGACUGACCGAUAGUGAACCAGUACCGUGAGGGAAAGGCGAAAAGAACCCCGGCGAGGGGAGUGAAAAAGAACCUGAAACCGUGUACGUACAAGCAGUGGGAGCCCCACCACCAAAGCAUUCUCUGGUGUUGAAGGCCCUGCAAAGCAGCAUCGCGGUGGCGGAGCGUCGUUUGCGACGCCCAACACAAAAAACAAGCGGUGAGUGCUUUGGGGUGGGGUGACUGCGUACCUUUUGUAUAAUGGGUCAGCGACUUAUAUUCUGUAGCAAGGUUAACCGAAUAGGGGAGCCGCAGGGAAACCGAGUCUUAAUUGGGCGUUAAGUUGCAGGGUAUAGACCCGAAACCCGGUGAUCUAGCCAUGGGCAGGUUGAAGGUUGGGUAACACUAACUG